GAGGGGCAGCGAGGGCGUAGCAAUACGCCUGUCGGCGACCGGCGCACUGGUGAGUAACACGUAUGCGACCUGCCCCCUACAGGGGUAUAACCCGUAGAAAUGCGGACUAAUCCCCCAUAGUCCUGGAGGCUGCAUGGCAUUCAGGGGAAAGGCCAGCCGGUAGGGGAUGGGCAUGCGGCGCAUUAGCUAGUUGGCGGGGCAACGGCCCACCAAGGCGACGAUGCGUAGGGGUUCUGAGAGGAAGGUCCCCCACACUGGUACUGAGACACGGACCAGACUCCUACGGGAGGCAGCAGUGAGGAAUAUUGGUCAAUGGGCGCAGGCCUGAACCAGCCAAGUCGCGUGAGGGAAGACGGUCCUACGGAUUGUAAACCUCUUUUGUCGGGGAGUAACGUGCGGGACGCGUCCCGUAUUGAGAGUACCCGAAGAAAAAGCAUCGGCUAACUCCGUGCCAGCAGCCGCGGUAAUACGGAGGAUGCGAGCGUUAUCCGGAUUUAUUGGGUUUAAAGGCGUGCGCAGGCGGCGCGCCAAGUCAGCGGUCAAAGUUCCGGGCUCAACCCGGUGUCGCCGUUGAAACUGGCGUGCUCGAGUGCGUGCGAGGAAGGCGGAAUGCGUUGUGUAGCGGUGAAAUGCAUAGAUAUGACGCAGAACUCCGAUUGCGAAGGCAGCUUUCCAGCGCGCUACUGACGCUGAGGCACGAAAGCGUGGGGAUCGAACAGGAUUAGAUACCCUGGUAGUCCACGCAGUAAACGAUGACUACUAGCUUUCCGGGGCGACUGGGUCCUGGGAGGCACAGCGAAAGCGUUAAGUAGUCCACCUGGGGAGUACGCCGGCAACGGUGAAACUCAAAGGAAUUGACGGGGGCCCGCACAAGCGGAGGAACAUGUGGUUUAAUUCGAUGAUACGCGAGGAACCUUACCCGGGCUCAAACGACAGCGGACAGCUCCUGAAAGGGAGUCUCCGGCAACGGCCGCUGUCGAGGUGCUGCAUGGUUGUCGUCAGCUCGUGCCGUGAGGUGUCGGCUUAAGUGCCAUAACGAGCGCAACCCCCAUCUCCAGUUGCCACCGGGUCGUGCCGGGCACUCUG
rnacentral:rRNA from 1 species